rnacentral:rRNA from 1 species
AUUGAACGCUGGCGGCAGGCCUAACACAUGCCAGUCGAACGGUAACAGGAAGCAGCUUGCUGCUUCGCUGACGAGUGGCGGACGGGUGAGUAAUGUCUGGGAAGCUGCCUGAUGGAGUGGGAUAACUACUGGAAACGGUAGCUAAUACCGCAUAAUGUCGCAAGACCAAAGAGGGGGACCUUCGGGCCUCUUGCCAUCGGAUGUGCCCAGAUGGGAUUAGCUUGUUGGUGGGGUAACGGCUCACCAAGGCGACGAUCCCUAGCUGGUCUGAGAGGAUGACCAGCCACACUGGAACUGAGACACGGUCCAGACUCCUACGGGAGGCAGCAGUGGGGAAUAUUGCACAAUGGGCGCAAGCCUGAUGCAGCCAUGCCGCGUGUAUGAAGAAGGCCUUCGGGUUGUAAAGUACUUUCAGCGGGGAGGAAGGGAGUAAAGUUAAUACCUUUGCUCAUUGACGUUACCCGCAGAAGAAGCACCGGCUAACUCCGUG